rnacentral:lncRNA from 1 species
UCUCUUUCACAGCAAGCCCCAUUGCCAUUUAUUUUUGCAAUGCAUUCAUGAUCUAUCUUCUAGCUCUUGUACUCUCUCAUAUUUUGUCUAUGCAAGUGUAUUUCCAGAGGCGGUUCAUUGCGAACUUAACUUCAGUUGAUUUGCUGUUGCUUUAGCUUCCAUUAUGAUUAUAACAAAAUUCUUGUGGUUAUAUUUGUUGCUGCCUAUAAUGGCUUAUGGAGGUGCACAUGCUAUCAACUUUGUCUUUUUUAACAGCUAGCAGUGUCCUUCCUACAGUAAUUCACUUGUCUUGCAUCCUCUGGUUCAAC